UCCCCACCGUAGCCAGGGUAGGGCUGGUCACGCCGCCGAUGCGUGGAUGGCAGCCUCGCAGCGCCAGACCCGCACUUAACUCGCCCCUGCCUCCCGAGCCUGCGCGAUGUGCCGCCCCGGGUGACAGGCGGCGGGGCGCUGCCCGGGACUCGGGCGGCCAUGCUCCCCCGCAGCACGUAGUGAGAGCCUCGCCGCCCAGGAGCAACCUCAUGUGACGGCACAGCCAACAAGAUGAACGGUGCUUUGGAUCACUCAGACCAGCCAGACCCAGAUGUCAUUAAGAUGUUCAUCGGACAGAUCCCUCAGUCGUGGUCGGAAAAGGGGCUGAAAGAAUUUUUCGAGCCUUACGGAGCCAACUACUAGAUCAACGUACUCCGGGACUGGAGUCAGAACCCUCCCCAGAGUAUAAAGGUUGUUGUUUCAUAACAUUUUAUACAAGAAAAGCUGCACUUGAGACCCAGAAUGCACUGCACAAUAUUAAAACUUUACCUGGGAUGCAUCAUCCCAUUCAGAUGGAACCUGCAGAUAGUGAAAAGUCCAACGCUGUGGAAGACAGGAAACUGUACAUAGGAAUGGUCUCGAAGUGUAAUGGGAAUGGUAUCAGGGAGAUGUUUUCUCCAUUUGGUCAGAUCGAGGAAUGCCGCAUUCUCCGGGAAUCCAACGGGCUGAGUCGAGGCUGUGUGUUUGUCACAUUUUCUACAAGGGCAAUGGCACAGAAUGCAAUCAAAGCCAUGCAUCAGUCUCAGAUCAUGGAGGGUUGCUCUUCACCUAUCGUGGUGAAGUUCGCGGACGCUCAGAAGGACAAAGAGCAAAGGCGCCUGCCCCAGCAGCUGGCCCAGCAGAUGCAGCAGCUCAACAGCCACUUGGGGAAACCUGACCGGGCUGGGCGGGCUGACUCCGCAGUACCUGGUGCUCCUGCAGAAAGCCACCUCCAGCAAACAACCUUUGGUGCAUUCAGUGGCAUUCAGCAGAUGGCGGGCAUGAAAGCUUUACAACUCCGGAACCUGGCGACAUUGGCUGCUGCUGCCACCGUGGCCCAGACCUCAGCCACCAGUGCCAGUGCAAACCCCCUCUCUACCACGAGCAGUGCCCUGGGAGCCCUCAUGAGUCCCGUGACUGCUUCAACUCCCAACUCCACUGCUGGUGCAGCCAUGAACUCCCUGACCUCUCUUGGGACCCUGCAAGGACUAGCUGGAGCCACAGUUGGACUGAAUAAUAUUAAUGCACUAGCAGGUAUGGCGGCUCUGAACGGAGGACUUGGCACCACAGGCUUGACAAAUGGCAUGGCUGGCACCAUGGAUGCCCUCACCCAGCCCUACUCAGGAAUUCAGCAGUACGCAGCCGCUGUGCUGCCCACCCUGUACAACCAGAGCCUGUUGCAGCAGUAGAGCACUGCGGGCAGCCAGAAGAAAGGUCCAGAGGGGGCAAACCUCCUUAUUUACCACCUUCCACAGGAGUUUGGAGACCAGGACAUUCUGCAGAUGUUCAUGCCUUUUGGAAAUGUAAUCUCUGCUAAAGUCUUCAAUGACAAACAGACCAAUCUGAGCAAGUGCUUUGGUUUCAUUAGCUACGACAAUCCAGUCUCUGCACAAGCUGCUAUCCAAGCUAUGAAUGACUUUCAGAUCGGCAUGAAAUACUUGAAGGUGCAGCUGAAGUGCUCCAAAAAUGACAGUAAACCUUACUGAUCCUAACCCCAUAGGCUCCCUGCUCUCAUUUUAGC